UACGUAGGGUGCAAGCGUUAAUCGGAAUUACUGGGCGUAAAGCGUGCGCAGGCGGUUUUGUAAGUCUGUCGUGAAAGCCCCGGGCUCAAGCUGGGAAUUGCGAUGGAGACUGCAAGGCUUGAAUCUGGCAGAGGGGGGUAGAAUUCCACGUGUAGCAGUGAAAUGCGUAGAGAUGUGGAGGAACACCGAUGGCGAAGGCAGCCCCCUGGGUCAAGAUUGACGCUCAUGCACGAAAGCGUGGGGAGCAAACAGG
rnacentral:rRNA from 1 species